UACGUAGGGGGCAAGCGUUGUCCGGAUUUACUGGGCGUAAAGCGCGCGUAGGCGGAUCGCUAAGUCAGGGGUGAAAUCCCAGGGCUCAACCCUGGAACUGCCUUUGAUACUGACGAUCUGGAGAUCGGGAGAGGUUGGUGGAAUUCCGAGUGUAGAGGUGAAAUUCGUAGAUAUUCGGAGGAACACCAGACGCGAAGGCGGCCAACUGGCCCGAUACUGACGCUGAGGCGCGAAAGCGUGGGGAGCAAACAGG
rnacentral:rRNA from 1 species